AUGCAUUGUAGUAAGGAUCUUCCACAGUUUUCUAAGUCUAAUCCUAUGACCCAAAGGAAAUGGCUUGCUCUCUCCCAGGGCUCAGAACAGGCACCCUUCAGCUGUCAGAUCCUUGAGCCUCUCAUUCAAACCUCUUGUCUUACAGAUGAGGAUACCAGGGUCCAGGACGGUAAACGCCUGGGCAAUGGGCAUGGAAGCAAGUUUCUCUCCAGACGCCUAGCGCUCUGUCCACCGGUUGGCCCGUCCCUCAAGCGCCCCCUGGCUUCUCACUCCUCUUUCGCUGCUGCACCUCCUCCUCCCGUCUGCACUAGAAAACACACGAACUCCAAACACACGAACAACACACAAGUCCUUUUCCCUGGAGUUGUGUCCAAGCCAUUUGGGCGCUCAGCAAGCAAGACGGCCUUUUAUGAAACGGCAUUCACCUGAGCAAGAAGACAGCUAAGGAUAUAAAUGACAAAGUUUUUCAUUCUGUUGUUUGACUGGCUUUUGUUUGUGUUUCCCUCCCAAGAUGAAUCUCACACAAAUCCUUGGGUGCAAGGAACUCUUCUGGGAGGUGAGGCCCGGGAGCAGGAGAGAAGGAAGAAGGAAGGUGAGACUGGGAAAAAACUCAUAAAACGUGUAUAGCACGGUGAUUCCUAUGUGUUUGGCAGAGGCUGGCCUCUGCAGGAAUCUCCGUGAAGCAUUGCCAGUCAGAACUGUCUGUUUACAACUCAAGAGGCUGGAGGAUGCGCGUUCCUGUCCCUCAUCAUUUGAGUUGCCCAGAAAGUAGUUACCCUCCCCCCACAUUUCCAGACUGCUUAUGAGCUAAAUGGGAUGCCACAUCUACAAAGAAAGCUCAGAGGCAGAGGCAAAGAGACCCGAGGCACGCGUGCUUGGAACUGUCCAUCUGCUGUGGCUGAGCGUGGGGGUGGCCAGGUCCGUGUGGAGCAAGACGCUGGUGGCAUCUUCUGCAGAGCGGAGCGAAUGCACUAGCCCAGCGGCUCUUCCCCCCCUCUCCCCUGCCCAUCCCCUGACCCUUCAGACAGGUGGCUCAUCAUGAGAUGCUGACCACGCCUGAACUCCAGCCAGGUCUCUCUCUUAUCCUGGGAUUCCACUUCCCUACCCUACGAAACAUGGUGGAGGGCAUGCGUGUGCGCCGUGCUGACACCAGGAGCAAUGAUGGCUGAGCUGGAGGCUGUCUUCAGCUCUCAGGAGGCAGGAGAGGAAGGGCCAAGGAGGAACUCUGUGCCUGUGUGGCCUGGGGCUGAUCAGUGGCCAGGAGCCAACCACCAGCCUCUUAUGCUGCUGUGACUGCACGCCCCCUGGGAUGAGAGGUGAGGCAGGCAGGGAGGAUGCGGAGGAGCUAUCCCUUGCGGGGGGGGCGGGGUCUUUGCCACCAGCAAUUGGCUGAGCCAGCUCUGGUGCAGAGUGUCCAUGAACCCCCUUUUCUGGCCAUGGAGUGGUGGAGGUGGAGGUGAGACGAGGGCCAGGCCAGGGAGCUGCCCAGCUUGAGGAAGCGGGAGCACAGGAGUGGGCCUAACCCAGGCACGGGUGGAUUGGGGGCCAGACCCUGCUGGGCGGCCCAAGGGGCACAGAAGCACAGACAUGUUCUGCUUCUGAGGCAGCCAGGACGUUGGUGAGGACCGUGGCUGGGGCAAGGGGAUCAGCGUGAGGCCUUCCUAUGGUGUGCAGACCCUGUACUGCAUCAGUGAGGGCACUUUAGUGUGGGCAGGUGUUCCUUGCCACCUAGGGCAUCGGCUCACACAAUGCCAGGCAGGCCUUGCUGUAAGCGUCAUCCUGAUCUGACAGAUAAAGAAUCAGCUGCCCAGAGAGGUCAUGUGACUUGCUUAGAUGACACUGUGCAUAACUGGGGACGUGGAUCCUGGGACUCAGACCGUCUGGGUCCAGGGUGGGUUCCUGACCAUGUACGACCCUGCUUCCUUCUUGGGCUUGCACUGCUGAUGACAGCCUUGUGCCACCAUAGCUCAUCUUGCUUCCAUGUGAGCCCUGCUUCUAGACAUAGUCAGUGAUGGGCACAGUCAGCGCUUGCUGCUCUGGAGCUCAGAAUUCCUGUUUAGGGCUCAAGAAUGGCCUGGACCCCUAGGGUCUCAGCCCCAGAUGCUAGGAUACGGCUCAGUUUUCUCUGUGGCUGUUGUUUAUUUUUAAUCAGAGAGCUGUGUCUCUAGCCCAGCACUGCUCACAUCCUCCUGCCUGUCUGUUUUUGAACAUGGGCUCCGCAUAUUUUCCUCAUAUCCCCCCAACUCCCAACUUUAAUUAGAGAGCACAAUUGGCUCACAGCCUCGCUCCUGGCAUUGCCUCCCCGGGCACUCCCUGUGCCUGAGUCUCGGCUCUUUCCAGAGAGAAUGACCCGAGGAUGUGCGGGACGGCUUAGAGCGCAGGUAAUCAGCGGGAUGGGCCUCUGAGGAGAGGAGAGGGUGAUGCCGUCCCCAGAACCACAGAAGCUGCACAAGAGACGACAUCUGACCCUGGAGAAAGCUCUUCCCAACUGCUCCGAGGCAGGCAAAGCUCAGAACAGGAUGUGAUGAGAACACUAAAUUCCAGUGGAAAUGACAGAAGGCUGUCGAUAAACGGUAGAUAUUCGUCCCAGUUGAGACCCAACGCAGAAGCUCGACGCAAAUGGCGCCUUAGUGACUCGCAUAAAAUAAAAUGGAAUGAAGUCUUGAAAGCAAAGGAAAAAUACAUAAAACAUUGCUCAGUUCCAUGACUUAGGUUGCCGUGCAUUUUCAACAAAGUUGGAUUUAGGUUUUGUGAGCAGAAGUCACCAGGGGGUUGGUUGAACGCAGGAAGUGAUUCUCCCAUGAAACUCUUACUAGAAAAAUCUCCUGGGGAAAUCUCACUACAAAGCCUACUUGCCAGUCUGGCCAUGAUUGGCAGGCAUUUGCUGGUGACUGAGGUAGGAAUCUGCCUGCCAAUGUAGGAGAAGUAGGUUCAAUCCCUGGGGUCAGGAAGAUCCCCUGGAGAAGUAAAUGGCAACCCACUCCAGUAUUCUUGCCUGGGAAAUCCUAUGGACAGAGGAGCCUGGAGGGCUACAGUCCCUGGGGUCACAAAAGAGUCAGAUACGACCUAGCCACUAAACAGCAGCAAGAAGACGGAUUGGACCGAGGGCUCUUUUAGGAGUAAGACCACUGCUGUGACAUCAGUAGUAGUCUGGAAAACACAGAAACGCUGAGUGGAGGAGACACUGACCUUCCCCCAGGUUAAUAACCCAAACAAAGCUAUUUCUUGUCAUGUCGCUGCUUCGUUACCAUCAUCUUUCCCAUGAAUUUUUGUGACCAUCCUGCGUAAACAGAUUUUGUAUAUUGUUUUCUCCUCAAAUGGCCUUCUCCAUGUUA
rnacentral:lncRNA from 1 species